rnacentral:rRNA from 1 species
UACGAAGGGGGCUAGCGUUGCUCGGAAUUACUGGGCGUAAAGGGCGCGUAGGCGGCACUGUUAGUCAGGCGUGAAAGUCCUGGGCUCAACCUGGGAACUGCGCUUGAUACGGCAGAGCUAGAGGAUGGAAGAGGCUCGCGGAAUUCCCAGUGUAGAGGUGAAAUUCGUAGAUAUUGGGAAGAACACCGGUGGCGAAGGCGGCUAUCUGGCCCGUAAUUGACGCUGAGGCGCGAAAGCGUGGGGAGCAAACAGG